UGGGGAAUCUUGCACAAUGGGGGCAACCCUGAUGCAGCGACGCCGCGUGAGCGAUGAAGCCCUUCGGGGUGUAAAGCUCUUUCGACGGGAACGAUAAUGACGGUACCCGGAGAAGAAGCUGCGGCUAACUACGUGCCAGCAGCCGCGGUAAUACGUAGGCAGCAAGCGUUGUUCGGAGUUACUGGGCGUAAAGAGUGCGUAGGCGGUCCUGUAAGUUUGGUGUGAAAUCUCCCGGCUCAACUGGGAGGGUGCGCCGAAGACUGCAGGGCUUGAGUAUGGGAGAGGUAAGCGGAAUUCCUGGUGUAGCGGUGAAAUGCGUAGAUAUCAGGAGGAACACCUGUGGUGUAGACAGCUUACUGGACCAUAACUGACGCUGAGGCACGAAAGCGUGGGUAGCAAACAGGAUUAGAUACCCUGGUAGUCCACGCCCUAAACGAUGCAUAUUUGGUGUGGGCAGUUCAUUCUGUCCGUGCCGGAGCUAACGCGUUAAAUAUGCCGCCUGGGGAGUACAGUCGCAAGGCUGC
rnacentral:rRNA from 1 species